rnacentral:rRNA from 1 species
UACGUAGGGGGCAAGCGUUAUCCGGAAUCAUUGGGCGUAAAGCGCGUGUAGGCGGUUCCGUAAGUCCGCUCUGAAAGCCCAGGGCUCAACCCUGGGAGGCGGGUGGAUACUACGGAACUGGAGUACGGAAGAGGAGAUUGGAAUUCCUGGUGUAGCGGUGGAAUGCGCAGAUAUCAGGAGGAACACCAAUAGCGAAGGCAGCUCGCUGGGACGUUUACUGACACUGAGGCGCGAAAGCGUGGGGAGCGAACAGG